UUUUCCCCCUUAUUCCACAUAUUUACAAGGACAUACAGCUGCUUACAAUAAAGACUGAAUUUUUCAGCUGUGCUACUGUAUGCAUCUUCUGGAAAGUAUUUUCUAAGGAGGGGGCAUAUCCUACGUUUUCUCUUCCAUUCAGACAUUGUGACUGGAGCAAAAGAAGCCAUUUUGAAACAUCAGCACCAGUGUGUGUCUUCCUGAGUGAACGACCUGUAAACUUCCUGAAUAUUAUCUAGCUGAUGGGAUUCCAAAUGCUGAAAAAAAAUGACAGAACCAAAGACAGAAGCAGCAAGAGCCAUCACUUCAAAAUUCUUUUCUACCUCUUUUUAGUCUAGUCUAGUCUAGUAU
rnacentral:lncRNA from 1 species